rnacentral:rRNA from 1 species
CAUUUUGUACAGGAGAGGCUAAAAGAUUUCGGGCAACAAAACCUUAUCUUAGCCCAAAAUACAAACGGCAUUGGUCAUGUUGAGAGAGCUCGGAUCCGCCUGCUGAAGGAGUUCUCCGCGAAUGGGCUGGAGAAGCUGAUGAAGGAGCACCAACUUGACGCGAUCGUUGCACCCGAGCACUAUGCUUCCAACCAUCUCGCCAUUGGUGGCCACCCCGGCAUCGUUGUGCCGGCUGGGUACAACGAGAAGGGUGUCCCUUUUGGCAUAUGCUUUGGCGGGCUGCAGGGAUACGAGCCGAGGCUGAUCGAGAUGGCAUAUGCUUUCGAGCAGGCUACUAAAGUGAGAAGGCCACCCAUGUUCAAGCUUUAG